AGAUUGAACGCUAGCGGGAUGCUUUACACAUGCAAGUCGAACGGCAGCGCGGACUUCGGUCUGGCGGCGAGUGGCGAACGGGUGAGUAAUAUAUCGGAACGUGCCCAGUAGCGGGGGAUAACUACGCGAAAGCGUGGCUAAUACCGCAUACGCCCUACGGGGGAAAGGGGGGGAUUCUUCGGAACCUCUCACUAUUGGAGCGGCCGAUAUCAGAUUAGCUAGUUGGUGAGGUAAAGGCUCACCAAGGCGACGAUCUGUAGCUGGUUUGAGAGGACGACCAGCCACACUGGGACUGAGACACGGCCCAGACUCCUACGGGAGCAGCAGUGGGAAUUUGGACAAGUGGGGGAAACCCUGAUCCAGCCAUCCCGCGUGUGCGAUGAACGGUCCGUUCGGGUUAGUAAGUCACGUUUUAGGACGUAGGGAAGAACGGCGUA
rnacentral:rRNA from 1 species